UACGAAGGGGGCUAGCGUUGUUCGGAAUCACUGGGCGUAAAGGGCGCGUAGGCGGCUUUGUAAGUCGGGGGUGAAAGCCUGUGGCUCAACCACAGAAUUGCCUUCGAUACUGCAUGGCUUGAGACCGGAAGAGGUAAGUGGAACUGCGAGUGUAGAGGUGAAAUUCGUAGAUAUUCGCAAGAACACCAGUGGCGAAGGCGGCUUACUGGUCCGGAUCUGACGCUGAGGCACGAAAGCUAGGGUAGCGAACGGG
rnacentral:rRNA from 1 species